CCUUAUUGAGAGUGGCUGAGGGACAGGCCCUGUGAAGCCCGGCAACCUGUUAUUUUACAAGGUGCUAAUUCCUGCGGCUGUUAGCCGGAAGAUAAGG
rnacentral:ncRNA from 1 species